CUUUGGCCCCGCGAUCAUGUAAUAAUUAAUAUGAUAAAAUUUCCUUCUCUAGUACAUACACCCCAGCCGGCUCUCUAGAACUACGAAACAGAGGAUUUCUCCUUUUACUCCCGCGCCUUCGCUUGAGAAGCCGGCCAUCUUUAUCCAGAAGUUAAGAGAAGAAUCCCCUCAUCGCUGCUAUCGUCAAAGGAAGGUGAGAGAAGGGAACCGCUCCUCAAUUCGUCCCUGUGUUCCAAGGCACGUUCCUUUAUCUCUUCUUUUCAUUUUUUUGGGGGGGAUUUUUUCCAUUGCGCUCUCAUUUCUUAUUCUGAUCCGAUUAACGCGAUAGACAUUGGUCAGUAGAAACUAGGUCAAAUCGUAUUGCACUAAACGACGCCAAAUCUUGCUUCCGCUCCGUUCAUGGAAGGGCCUAGAGGCCGGAACUGGAGGGCCAAGUUUUCGAUGCAUAUCUUGAUAACCUUGUGCUUUGCUGUCUGUUUGAUCUUUAAUUCGGAAAAGCUACCUUUGGUUGAUUUAAAGAUCAGAGUUUGUGGCAUCUUGGAGACAGAGGAUGCACAGCAUGUCGGGAGAUUUUCGAAGCUUAGUGCUGCUGGCUUGGUGAUGUGGCCUAUCUGUUUCAUCGCGGAUCGGCUGAUAAAGAUGCUCGGAGAAGGGAAAAUAGGAGCAAAGUGGUGUGACGCGGCCUUGGCGCGAUCUAAUGGUGUGGAUGCUUCUGCAACGUUUCCUGCUAGUUCGCACUUUGUGGAUGUUCCGCAUGUGCGGCAGCAGUUUCACUGGGAUUGCGGACUUGCUUGCGUUUUGAUGGUGCUGAGGACUGUUGGAAUAGGGCACAUUGGCAUUCAUGAGCUCGUGGAUCUUUGUUCCACAACAAGUGUUUGGACGGUUGAUCUGGCAUAUCUUUUGAAAAGGUUUUCAAUUAGUUUUCAUUUCUUCACUGUCACUAUAGGAGCAAAUCCAAAUUUUUCGGAUGAAACAUUUUAUAGGGAACAAUUGAAGGAUGAUGUCAAUCGAGUAGAUGGACUAUUUGAAAAGGCACUUGAAACUGGGAUCGUUAUAGAGUGCAGGUCUAUCAAUGGAGUAGACAUUGCUGCUCUUAUUUCUUCAGGCCAAUACAUUGCCGUUGCCCUGGUUGACAAGAUUAAGUUAAGUCAGUCUCAGCAGAAGGAUGGAUUCUUCUCAGUUGGAAGUUCGGAUUAUAUGGGGCACUUUAUUGUGAUAUGUGGCUAUGAUGCAGAAGCUAGUGAAUUUGAAAUAAGAGACCCCGCCAGUUCAAGAAAGAAUGAAAGAGUUUCUCUGGAGUGUCUAGAUUGUGCACGCAAAUGUUAUGGAACUGAUGAGGACAUAAUUUUGACCACCUGAAUACUUUCGACCAAGCAACCUCUAACUUCAAGUAUUGUUGAUUACGUUCAGCUUCUUCUUGUUUCAUUGAAGGAGAAGCCACAUACAAUAUCUCACUUGAGCUGCUAGAAGUAAAAUAUUUGAUGUCCCUUUCCAUGACCCAAAGCACCAUCCAUCAAUUUGUCGUCUGUCUAUUUGGUCAAUUGUUUGGUUUGCAUGCACUGUAAGCAAACCUUAUUUCUUGUAUCAUUUGUAUAUUGUCUCGUCAUUCGUUGAUCCAAUUGUAAAUGACAAUUAUCCGAUAUAUAAAAGAAAUACAUCUUUUUGAUUUA